AUUAUUGCUUGAUCAUAAAGUUGAUCUGCUAGCUAACACAGAGGACUGGUCUGUGAUUGGCUAUGCAGCUAUGUUGGAGGCUCAGACAGAGACCGCAGUGAAAGUAACUUAGGCCUAUGUGUCGCUAAUGUUGUAAGUCUGAUUAGACCAAGGGAGUUUUUUUAUAUUUAGCUAGUGUAUGUAGAAUAUAUAUUUUGUUGUAAUGAAUGCUGGUAUGUAAAUGGCUGGAUUGCUAAAUUAGUUACUAGUUUGCUUGAUAACAUUCCUUAGCCGCACACCCCGGCCGUAGCCACAGUCAACGGCGCCGUCUUGUUUCCAGUUGUUCUUGGGUGUAAUGCUAUAAACUACAGACUUUAGAUGCAUGGUUUCCAGUUUCUUACCAAUCAAACAAUUUAGAAUGACGUCAAUCAAGACACAACUUUAAAAGGACUAUGAUAUGCAUGACCUCAUCCCUGUCCAUUGGUACUUUUUUUCCCCAGACACUUCAAUCUGUCACAUGACCCGUUAUAUUCUGACAUGUCAGACUUGGCUCUGGAUGAAAAGAUUAAGGACUUGGUGGCUGGGAACGACAAACGUGGACCGGAGGCUGUUCGAUCACCAUUAAGGGCUCUGGGUGCAGAGUGAGGGACAGCAUGCUUCGUGUUAACCUGAGGGUGACUGCCCUCAGAGCCAUGUCGCAGAGGCUGCAUAGAAGGUCAUACCGUGUUGCUGGACCAAACUCGUAAUGGCACCUUAAUGGAAACCACAAACUGAUAAGUGUUGACGUCCAAACACUGCUGAAGUUAAUGAGAUGCCAACAGAAUUAACGUGAUGAGAGACAACGUUUAUGUGCAAUGAGAGGCUUUCAGAGAGCCUGCUUUAAUCCGGAGGCAAAAAUAGACACAUUUUUAGGGAUGCUGAUGGAAAAGGGGCAGCUGAUGAGGGUGGUCCCUCAAGAUUUUCCCCGGCUGCUAAUGAGUGCCAUCCAUUCCUCUGCCAUAUUUGAGGGGCCUGAUUGGGAAAAAUGCCUUUCUUGCAACUCUCAAACACGCUAUGAUGGCGUAUACAAGCAGGUGGGCCACAUGACUGCUGUCUGUCUGGUACAUGGGGGUGUCGAGCCACAUUUUGUCAGAGAGGCUCUACAGUGUGGCCUACAACCUCCUGUGCCAGAACUGAAAGAAAUUUUGGAAUAUGACUUCAGAGAGAAGUUGGAGAAGGCUAGGAAGCGUGAGAGAUUAAGCCACACUUGA
rnacentral:lncRNA from 13 species